rnacentral:rRNA from 1 species
UACAGAGGGUGCGAGCGUUAAUCGGAAUUACUGGGCGUAAAGCGCGCGUAGGCGGCUUUGCAAGUCGGGUGUGAAAUCCCCAGGCUUAACCUGGGAACUGCAUUCGAGACUGCAUUGCUAGAGUAUGGGAGAGGGAAGUGGAAUUUCCGGUGUAGCGGUGAAAUGCGUAGAUAUCGGAAGGAACAUCAGUGGCGAAGGCGACCAUCUGGACGACAACUGACGCUGAGGCGCGAAAGCGUGGGGAGCAAACAGG